CUUCAAACACCCAAUUUUUUUCCCAUGUGUCCUUGAAUCCAUCAACUCAUAUGGUCUAUAAAAAUAAAUGCUCUAGUUUUUUUUCCUUCAAAAUUUUCCCUUCCAAAGUCCCUUGCAAAAGAAAAAAAAAGAAAAAAAGUGAAAAAAAACAAAAGAGAAAAAAAAGAAAGAAAAGAGGGAUAGCUCCAUGUUCUCAAGUAUCCAAAUAUUCCAAAGAAAGGGACCUAUCGAAUAAGGAGCCCCAUUCUAGACCAUAUUCAUCAAGCACAAAGUCAACCACUUGUGUUUGUUUCCUCCAUCAGCAUGAGUCCAUUUUCUCUCUUGCCCCUAAACAUUCCCCA
rnacentral:lncRNA from 1 species